rnacentral:rRNA from 1 species
CAGCAGCCGCGGUAAUACGUAGGUGGCAAGCGUUGUCCGAAAUUAUUGGGCGUAAAGGGCUCGCAGGCGGUUUCUUAAGUCUGAUGUGAAUGCCCCCGGCUCAACCGGGGAGGGUCAUUGGAAACUGGGAAACUUGAGUGCAGAAGAGGGGAGUGGAAUUCCACGUGUAGCGGUGAAAUGCGUAGAGACGUGGAGGAACACCAGUGGCGAAGGCGACUCUCUGGUCUGUAACUGACGCUGAGGAGCGAAAGCGUGGGGAGCGAACAGGAUUAGAUACCCCGGUAGUCCCUGUCUCUUAUAC